rnacentral:rRNA from 1 species
GACGAACGCUGGCGGCGUGCUUAACACAUGCAAGUCGAACGGAAAGGCCCUGCUUUUGUGGGGUGCUCGAGUGGCGAACGGGUGAGUAACACGUGAGUAACCUGCCCUUGACUUUGGGAUAACUUCAGGAAACUGGGGCUAAUACCGGAUAGGAGCUCCUGCUGCAUGGUGGGGGUUGGAAAGUUUCGGCGGUUGUGGAUGGACUCGCGGCUUAUCAGCUUGUUGGUGGGGUAGUGGCUUACCAAGGCUUUGAAGGGUAGCCGGCCUGAGAGGGUGACCGGCCACAUUGGGACUGAGAUACGGCCCAGACUCCUACGGGAGGCAGCAGUGGGGAAUAUUGCACAAUGGGCGGAAGCCUGAUGCAGCAACGCCGCGUGCGGGAUGACGGCCUUCGGGUUGUAAACCGCUUUCGCCUGUGACGAAGCGUGAGUGACGGUAAUGGGUAAAGAAGCACCGGCUAACUACGUG